CUCAGUGAUGCCCCGGUGGGGGCUCAGUGAUGCCCGGUGGGGGCUCAUGAUUCCCCGGUAGAGGCUCAGUGAUGCCCCGGUAGAGGCUGAGUGCCCCGGUGAGGCAGGGUGGAUCUGCAGAUCGGGUGCCCACGGUGGAGCUGCAGAUCGAGUGCCCACGGUGGAGCUGCAGAUCGAGUGCCCAGGGUGGAGCUGCAGAUCGGGUGCCCACGGUGGAGCUGCAGAUCGGGUGCCCAGGGUGGAGCUGCAGAUCGAGUGCCCACGGUGGAGCUGCAGAUCGAGUGCCCACGGUGGAGCUGCAGAUCGGGUGCCCAGGCUGGAGCUGCAGAUCGGGUGCCCAGGGUGGAGCUGCAGAGCGGGUGCCCACGGUGGAGCUGCAGAGCGGGUGCCCAGGGUGGAGCUGCAGAGCGGGUGCCCAGGCUGGAGCUGCAGAGCGGGUGCCCAGGCUGGAGCUGCAGAUCGGGUGCCCAGGCUGGAGCUGCAGAGCGGGUGCCCAGGGUGGAGCUGCAGAGCGGACGGCAGCGCUGGGUGCAGCAGGGGCGGGUGCGGACCCAGCCCUGGCUGCAGGCGCUGCCCUCGGGGCUCGCUGCUCCCGUCCCCUGGCACGCUUCACGCUGUUACGGUAUUCCUGUUGACUAAACUUGCUGUAGUAGAGGUUUUUACACACACACACAGGCAGCAUAUGUAACCAUUUUUUAGAAUACUCUACAGAACAGCACUACCUCCCUCUGCUUACUUCAUUUCACAGGUGUGUUUUACGCCCUUCACUUUUUGCAGCUGCUGGUGACUCAAACGUGCUCUUACCUGAAAACUGUGCACCUUUGCCUGAUUUUUCCUAUGAGUUUUUUUUUUGUAGCAGUGCAAUUUCUAUGCUCUUACUCUGAGCUAGUCUGAUUUUUGAAUCAAGCCCAGCUCCCUCAGCUGGCACUCAGUAACACUCAUGUAUAUCUGUAUAAAAGGUACUCCGUGACCCCCAUGAUGGAGAAGGUCAGAAUAAACCAUCACAAUGGUCUCUGCUGGCCUUGGGCACUGUGAACCUCUGCAUUUGUAUAUUUGAAUGGAUCUGAUUACUGCCUGCCCCUUGCCAAAAGUGCUAGAAUUUACAGAAUAGUGUCAUUGACUUAAGUGCCUGUUCUUUUACCUUAAGGAAUCCAUUUCUGCUUUCUCUGUGAGCUGUGACCUAAUUAAUGUAUCAAACUCUGCAAUUUUCUGUUCUCCUCGUUCCCUCACGCAUAGGGCAGGUCUUGGUUCACACAUUCUGACAGGAGUUUAUUGGAUGGGAAUGAACUCACCCGGGAAUGGGCACAGAGGGUUCAUGGGUUCAUUUCUGCAGCAACAUGUUUAUUUCUUGUUUAAGUGGACUGAUGAAGAGCAAAGGGCAGUGAAUUUACAGCCAAGCACCAUCCACACAGACCGCUGCUGAAUAAAACACAAUUUAAGCUGUU